rnacentral:rRNA from 1 species
ACAGCAGUAGCCGCGGGAAUACGAAGGGGGCUAGCGUUGCUCGGAAUCACUGGGCGUAAAGCGCACGUAGGCGGAUGUUUAAGUCAGAGGUGAAAGCCUGGAGCUCAACUCCAGAACCGCCUUUGAUACUGGGCAUCUUGAGUCUGGAAGAGGUAAGUGGAACUGCGAGUGUAGAGGUGAAAUUCGUAGAUAUUCGCAAGAACACCAGUGGCGAAGGCGGCUUACUGGUCCGGUACUGACGCUGAGGUGCGAAAGCGUGGGGAGCAAACAGGAUUAGAUACCCCAGUAGUCCCUGUCUCUUAUAC